rnacentral:rRNA from 1 species
AGAAUGAACGUUGGCGGCGUGGAUUAGGCAUGCAAGUCGUGCGGAAAGGCCCCGCAAGGGGUACUCGAGCGGCGAAAGGGAUAGUAACACGUAGGUACCCACCUCUGGGACGGGGAUAGCCGGGGGAAACUCCGAUUAAUACCCGAUGACGUCCUAGGACCAAAGGUGUGAUUCCGCCCGGAGACGGGCCUGCGUCCUAUCAGCUAGUUGGUGAGGUAACGGCACACCGAGGCAACGACGGGUAGCGGGUGUGAGAGCACGACCCGCAUCACUGGGACUGAGACACUGCCCAGACACCUACGGGUGGCUGCAGUCGAGAAUCUUCGGCAAUGGGCGAAAGCCUGACCGAGCGACGCCGCGUGCGGGAUGAAGGCCCUCGGGUUGUAAACCGCUGUCAGUGGGGAGGAAGUCUAGUGGGGAUCACCCCAUUAGUUGACCUAUCCGCAGAGGAAGGACGGGCUAAGUUCGUGCCAGCAGCCGCGGUAAUACGAACCGUCCUAACGUUAUUCGGAAUCACUGGGCUUAAAGGGUGCGUAGGCGGCUCAGAAAGUUGGGUGUGAAAUCCCUCGGCUUAACCGAGGAAUUGCGCUCAAAACUACUGAGCUUGAGGGAGACAGAGGUGAGCGGAACUUAGGGUGGAGCGGUGAAAUGCGUUGAUAUCCUAAGGAACACCGGUGGCGAAAGCGGCUCACUGGGUCUUUUCUGACGCUGAGGCACGAAAGCCAGGGGAGCGAAGAGGAUUAGAUACCCUCGUAGUCCUGGCCGUAAACGAUGAGCACUAGGUCGAAGAUCUCUCCAUAGGUUUUUGGCCGUAGCGAAAGUGUUAAGUGCUCCGCCUGGGGAGUAUGGGUCGCAGGCUGAAACU